AUGACGAAGGCAAACUCAUCUGGCUCGAGAGUUGAUGGCGGUGGAGGAAAGAUAGUUGGGGGAGCGGGGUGGAUAGCGGAGGUGGAGGCGGCUGAGGUUGCGGGAGGGAGCAAAUCAAACCGGGAGGAAUUGCUAGAUGAGAAGUCGAAGUAUCUGAAUAUUAGGGAAUAAGAAGAGGAAGAUGUGAUCUUGGAGGAAGAUAUGGAGGAACUAGAGAAGGAUUGAGAGUUCAUGGCGCUAGCUUGUGUGCAUACCUCGAGAAAAUUCAGUCAUGGGGCUUUCUAUGGAACGAUGAGAUCAGCAUGGAAUCUUGCACAGGAAGUAGAGUUCAGAGCUAUAGAAGAUAACUUGUUCUCCAUACAGAUCGCAUGCUUGGCGGACUGGGAGAGAGUUAUGUUUGAAGGACCGUGGAUCUUUCAGAACUGUCCAGUGCUGCUUUCUCCAUAUGAUGGAUGGUCAGAACCAAGCGAGGUAGAGUUAAACACCUACCAGGUGUGGGUGAGGAUGAUGGGGUUGAAGGAUAAGAUGAGGAGUGCAAGCAUAGCUUGA
rnacentral:rRNA from 1 species